GAUGAACGCUGGCGGCGUGCCUAAUACAUGCAAGUCGAGCGAACAGAUGAGGAGCUUGCUCCUCUGACGUUAGCGGCGGACGGGUGAGUAACACGUGGAUAACCUACCUAUAAGACUGGGAUAACUUCGGGAAACCGGAGCUAAUACCGGAUAAUAUAUUGAACCGCAUGGUUCAAUAGUGAAAGACGGUUUUGCUGUCACUUAUAGAUGGAUCCUCGCCGCAUUAGCUAGUUGGUAAGGUAACGGCUUACCAAGGCAACGAUGCGUAGCCGACCUGAGCGGGUGAUCGGCCACACUGAAACUGACACGCGAUCCAGACUCCUACGGGAGGCAGCAGUAGGGAAUCGUCCGCAGUGGGCGAAAGCCUGACGGGCAACGCCGCGUGAGUGAUGAAGGUCUUCGGAGCGUAAAACUCUGUUAUUAGGGAAGAACAAAUGUGUAAGUAACUAUGCACGUCUUGACGGUACCUAAUCAGAAAGCCACGGCUAACUACGUG
rnacentral:rRNA from 1 species